AGAACGAACGCUGGCGGCAUGCCUAAUACAUGCAAGUCGAACGAACUCUUCGGAGUUAGUGGCGCACGGGUGCGUAACGCGUGGGAAUCUGCCCCUUGGUUCGGAAUAACAGUUGGAAACGACUGCUGAUACCGGAUGAUGACGAAAGUCCAAAGAUUUAUCGCCAAGGGGAUGAGCCCGCGUAGGAUUAGCUAGUUGGUGAGGUAAAGGCUCACCAAGGCAACGAUCCUUAGCUGGUCUGAGAGGAUGAUCAGCCACACUGGGACUGAGACACGGCCCAGACUCCACGGGAGCAGCAGUAGGAUAUUGGACAAUGGGACAAAGCCUGAUCCAGCAAU
rnacentral:rRNA from 1 species